rnacentral:rRNA from 1 species
UACAGAGGGGGCAAGCGUUAUUCGGAAUUAUUGGGCGUAAAGGGCGCGUAGGCGGCUUGGCAAGUGGAAGGUGAAAUCCCUCGGCUUAACCGAGGAACUGCCCUCCAAACUGCUUCGCUUGAGACCGGGAGAGGUGAGUGGAAUUCCCAGUGUAGCGGUGAAAUGCGUAGAUAUUGGGAGGAACACCAGUGGCGAAGGCGGCUCACUGGACCACAACUGACGCUGAGGCGCGAAAGCUAGGGGAGCAAACAGG